GAUGAACGCUAGCGGCAGGCUUAACACAUGCAAGUCGAGGGGUAGAGGCUUUCGGGCCUUGAGACCGGCGCACGGGUGCGUAACGCGUAUGCAAUCUGCCUUUCACAGAGGGAUAGCCCAGAGAAAUUUGGAUUAAUACCUCAUAGCAUUGGAGAAGGGCAUCCUUUUCCAAUUAAAGUCACAACGGUGAAAGAUGAGCAUGCGUCCCAUUAGCUAGUUGGUAAGGUAACGGCUUACCAAGGCUACGGUGGGUAGGGGUCCUGAGAGGGGGAUCCCCCACACUGGUACUGAGACACGGACCAGACUCCUACGGGAGGCAGCAGUGAGGAAUAUUGGUCAAUGGGCGCAAGCCUGAACCAGCCAUGCCGCGUGCAGGAUGACGGUCCUAUGGAUUGUAAACUGCUUUUGUACGGGAAGAAACACUGAUUCGUGAAUCAGCUUGACGGUACCGUAAGAAUAAGGAUCGGCUAACUCCGUGCCAGCCGCCGCGGUAA
rnacentral:rRNA from 1 species